UACGUAGGGUGCAAGCGUUGUCCAGAAUUAUUGGGCGUAAAGAGCUCGUAGGCGGUUUGUCGCGUCGAAUGUGAAAACCCGGGGCUCAACCCCGGGCCUGCAUUCGAUACGGGCAGACUAGAGUUCGGUAGGGGAGUCUGGAAUUCCUGGUGUAGCGGUGAAAUGCGCAGAUAUCAGGAGGAACACCGGUGGCGAAGGCGGGACUCUGGGCCGAUACUGACGCUGAGGAGCGAAAGCGUGGGGAGCAAACAGG
rnacentral:rRNA from 1 species